AAUUCCUUUUAAGUGCAGUCCAGAGAGGCUGACAAAGGAGCGACUAUCGGGAUUUAAUGGCCUCGCUCUGUUUUGGAGUGGGCCUUUUUUGUU
rfam:Lactobacillus sakei strain 23K complete genome.